GCUAACUGUUUCCAUGCGGCUGAUACCAUCUUGUCUGCGCUCUUACACUCUCUCCCUGGCGCAUUUCUUUUUUAUUCUUCACAGUCUGGCACCGUAAAGCCGACCGAUGUGAAAACCCUGUAGCCUUUCAGCACGCCUCCAGACACGCAGGCGUGAAAGGCAAAAUUAGCUUCUGAAGCUGCAUCAGGCCCAACAACUGAGGGAGGUAUUGCUGAAGCUAACCGAUAGAAAAUACUCUUGUACAUGCUCUGGCUUCAUAUCAGUCAGUUGUGAUCAAAAACUGAAUGCUGUUUUUGGAAUUCUGCUAGAAGUCUGAAGAUGAACAUGAGUUCCAUUUACCAGCAUCCAAGCAACUUUUAAGACAACCCCAAAAAAACAAUGGCUUCAGGAGACGAUAAUGAAUGCUUUUCAAAUGACUUCGACAAAGAACUAAAUCAGGCAGAGGAUGUCUGCGAGAGAUCCUCACAACCUGACGGAUUUGGAGAACUUCUGGAGGGCAAAUAUUGUCAAAUCAAGAUUUAGGACGCCCCAUAAACUCCAACUGAAGACGACUGAAUGCUGAGAAUGUUCUUCAACAAAGAGAGUUCAAAUCAGGCAGCCAGGUUAUUGCAGCGUUUUACUGUUCAUAGUUUUCCAUUCUCCAGAUUUGUUUGUUUUUCCUCUGAAUAAUGCAGGAUGUGUGUCACAUCAACGGUGGGAUUUCAAUGAUUUAUGGUGGUCAGGUCUUGUACCCUGGAAUAAUGUUGUUUUAACAGCAGAGAGUGGAACAUUUAUAUCCACUGUUACAUUAUACUCAACUUUACCUCACAAACAGACACAUCACAGCUCUACAGUCUGGUGACAUACAGGCAGGGCUCAGGCUUGGUCUUAAUAAGUUCACGGCUCUCUAUAUCUCUCUAUCUCCAGAAAUGUAAACACACUCGGUAGACUGUUAAAUUGUCACAACUUCAUAAAAAGUUCAACACC